rnacentral:lncRNA from 7 species
CAUUUCCAGAAAAGAGACUCAACAACAGUUUCUGUACCAUCGUCACCACAGUUCUGUACCCACAACAUCAAACAAAAGUUGGCCUUUGUUUCUGUGUUGCUGAUGUCUAUGGAGAGGCUCUCAUGGACUUCAAAGGAAUUAGGAUUUGUGCCUUCUGAAAGUGCCUCUUCGAUAAUCACCUUUUCCUACAGCCUGAAGACACAGUGAAUACUUCCUGGUUUCUUUCCUUCCAUGUGUUCUAAAUCAGGACGCCUGGAAAAUGGAAGACAUGGGUCUAGAUGUCGGUAUCUGGAAUUCAAGUCCUUGUCUUGAAGGCUAUCAUCAAGUUAAGAAAGCGUACGUGCUAGAUAAUGGCUGGCGUGAUGUGCUAGUGUGUGGCACGUGCAGCUUCUUUAAAGCUGUUCUGAGACUGAUAGGUCAUAUGUGGGGGGAGAAGUUACUGCUCCAGUAGUGGACAAGUAGAAAAAGAGAAUUCCAGGGAGAGGAGCAAAAAGCCAAAGUACUUUCAGCAAAAAUGAGCAGAAAAAAAAAAAAAAACAACAACAAAACCAAAAAAACUUUUUCAAGUCCUGUGUCCUACAUAACACAGAAUUUCACCUAACAAAUCUUGUGUCAAGCUUGAAUAAUGUGCAAUGGAAUUAUGCAGUAGAAUGGCAAUGGUGUCUGUAAGCAUGAAAGCUUAGGAUGACAAAAGGAUUGUAAGUGGUGGCCAAUCUGCGAUAUCUCUCCUUAGCUAAGUUGCUUCAUGCUUCUUGUUCACAGUUUGCUGUAUCCAUUUUACUUCUACUUAGCCCUGAGUAAAACCAUGAAAAUAUUGCAUAGUAGUGAUGCCUAAAAAAUGAUACAGCGAACAUAGUCCUAGUAUAGUCCUAGUCAUGACAUUUCUUCAGCUUCAGGCUUGAGAGAAGGUGGACACUUGCCCCUCAUUAGCAGAAACCUAGAUGAUUUUAACUCCCUGCGUGAUGAGUCCUAUCCAAAGUUGCUGCUUCUCACUGUGGGAGACUUUUGAUAAGUUCUGCUUGCUUUUUACUGCAUGAGUGUGCCAUUGAAAAGCCAAACCAACUGCAGCCAGCAAAGUCCAAGGUGGCCUUAUUUGAUGCUUUUCAAAGUCUUAACUGUGAUUAAUAGAGAUUCUCUGCUCAGCUUCUUUAUUAUAGGGCAAGCAGAUUUUGUCUGCCUCUGCUCACCCAGUUAUGUCCACUUUCAUCAUGUUUGUGAUCUGAGAUCUCUUGAAGAAACCACAUGGAGUUCAUUAAGCAGAUUAUAGCAUCUAGUCUGUAGUGCCUAUUGAAUGCCAUGGGGAUAACUGAUGGUGAUGUUGACUUGAUUAAGUAAUUAUACAUG